rnacentral:tRNA from 2 species
UAAAAUUUAGUGUAUUUGGAAGCACGGGGAAUUUUGAGUUCUCAAGGUUAGGUUCAAGUCCUAUAAUUUUAG